CGGCUGUAGGAGAUCUGAGGCAGAAGACUGUGAGAGCAGAGGUUUCAGAGGCAGAGGGCACCUGACCUAAAUGCAUCCUGACAGCAAACACUGUCUCACCUCCUCACAGGUGCACCUGUGUAGAGCAGCGAGGAGGGGGAAGAAUCACUGAAGCCAAGGUUUGGUCACCGGAAUAUUUUGCUGCCAGCUCCAACUGCAGUGAACCCCAGAGACUCCAUUGACUGGACAUGGCCUUGGACCUUUCAACACAUGGACCAACAAUGGCUGGCUCUCCUGGCACCUUCGGGACAAGCCUCCUGUGUAUUCCUGGAAUAAUAGCAGAGAGGCCGCAAAAGGUCACAGUACUAUAUCCUGAACGUCCAGAAAGUAGGAGCAUCUUACUGGUUGUCAUUGUGGUGGAGAAGAAGACAUUGAAUGUGAAGUCAUGAGGGCGGUGAAUGUUCCAGAACACAGGUGUGUGGACACGUGUGGGAGCCAUGCAGGCAAGAAUUCCAGAGAAAGAAGUGAGGAGAAGAGAGUUGAGAGUACAUGCAAUGAAGUGACUACAAUGAUGUUUUAUGGAAGAUGAGAGAAGCAAGACUAUAAAGGGAAUAAGGGAAUGUUUUAAAUUGUGCCAAAGGACUUAAGAUCAAACACCUUUGGAGUUCAGAUAUGAAAAUACAUGCUCUAGAAUGAUAGAAUUGGUAGCGUAGGCUGUUGAAUAAAGAUUUUGGAUGAACAUUGCCAAGACAUAACCUUGAGAUUGGAAAAAAUAAAUUUUGGAAAUAAGGAAGUAAUGAAUAAGAGACCAGGACAUCAAGAUGAAUAUUAAACUCAUUAAGAAUGAUGACAGAAGUAUUGAUGGAGUGGAUGACAAAUGAGAGAGAGGGAUCCAAAGGUUGAUUGUGACUAUAGUAUCACUAUCUAUACCACUAUAGAAUGCUACCCUGGGUACAGUCUGAUGGACUGUGCUUCAUAGAUCUGGUGAUUUUAAGAGAAGAGGGGAGAAAAAAAUGUUCUAGAAGCAGCAGUGAGGGUUAGAGACACCAAUUCUAUCUCCAGGCCUGUGGUGCUGUAUGGGGUAUGAGAGAAAGAGCAGCUACAUAGGGCUACAAGGAGGCAGCAUACUCAGGGAAUAGCUAAAUCUCCAUUAAAUGAAAAAGGUGAAGUUAAUACCUACAGAAUAGUUAGAAGAUUGAGAAGACUUAGAAGAGCUUCAGAGAGUGGCGUGCAAAAAUGUAGGAGGGCAAAAAAUAUUUUUGGUUGGGCAAUGGACAGAGCUAUUUGAAGGGGUACAUGUAGGUGAUGAAGGGUGGUCUGAGAAUUUGGACUUCUAGCAGCACCUGAGGUAAACGAAAUUGUGAAGCAUGAUGAGUUUCCUUCAAACGCUCUCUUAGGGGAAAAUGUGUGCUGGGUCCUACACAUAGCUUCCUUCUCAGGAUUAAUGUUUAAGCUGUUUGUGCUAGUGAGACUGGUAGUGUUGAAGCUGGGAGAGGCACAGUUUGACCGGGACCACCGGGAGCGCUGAAGGCACCUCUUGUAUUUAUGAAAGCCUUCAUGAAUGAGGCAGAUUCUCAGAGGUAUCACAGGCUUGCUAGUGCACAUAAAAAAGAAAUAAAAUCAUGUUUGUAUUGACAGAUUUAAAGUGAUCUGUUACUUCUGAAAGGAGAGGCUUGAGCAUGCAUGGCCUUGAAAGAACUGGAGGCACAAUAUUGGUCAGUUGUUAGGAUGUGUUUGUAUUCCUUUUUAAUUAUUUCAAGUAAUUAAAUACCAUUGGAAAUGGCAUAAAAGACCAGGACAACAAUCUCAUAAAUAUGAAAACUGACACUAAACAUUUUAUUUGUUUAUAUAUGUAUAUACAUAAUAUAUGUAAACAUAUUUUAUAUGUAAUUAAUAUAUUAAUAUAUAUAUCUUUAGAUUACAUUAUCUCUUCAUAGCCAAGCCUAUUGUUUGCAGUAUAAUUUUAAUGCCUUUGAGAAAUGAUAGUUGUUCAGAUUUUAAAAAACAUUCUCUGUACUUAACAUUUGUUCAAAGAUUUAGAAUCUGUGUCUUCAAAGGUUUGAAAGUAGCUUUAAUCCAAGAAAUACUUUUUUGAUUACAUUUAUUCUUUUUUCCCUUUGUCAGCUUGAGAGAGAUAAUUUAAAAGGGAGAAAGUGUGUUGAAGACAGAAUAAAACUUAUAUUUACUAUUAAUGUUCUGUUGUGGGUUAGAAAAUGUCUUACAUUUGGGUAAAUGAAAGAAAGGUUUCUUAUAUGAUCAUAACCUGGGAAGCAGCCACCUCCAUUGUCUUUUCUCUUGACUUCCUCCCUUAACUGGAGAGUUUUCCGCUCCUACAGCUUCCACCAUUGUCUUUCUAUAACUGCCCUGCGAAUUUAAUUCUCAGCUCAAAGCUCCUUUCUCUCUGCUUAGUAGCUCUUUACCUGACACUUUUAUGUAUCAACUUACAUGUUUUUUUCUCUUUGCAAAUUAAACAUGGAAAAGACAAAAAUAGAAAAGCUCAUUAAUCUAUGUAAGAAAAACAUGUCAGGGUAAGAGAAUGAAGUUAUGUUACAAGCACAGUGUUGAUUUUUAGCAAGUUGACCUAAGAUCAUUCUUCAUUAAAUAGCUAUAAUGUGGGUCACAGUUUGGAUCAUGCAAAUGUUCUGAAAUACUUAUUUGACUUAUAAAUUUAUUAUUAAUGUAUGAUAAUAUUAGUAAUAAACUUGAACUAGACUCAGAUGCUCAUUUGCCAAUAUACUGCUAAUAAACUCUAUGUUCAGAUAAACAAGAGAAAAAGCAAUAAAAAUGACUUACCAAAGGGCCCAUUUCCUACUUGAUAUGACAGUCUUAAUUUGUUUUCUAUGCCUUUACUUGUCUUCUCAUUUAUUACAACAGUUUCUGUUUCUAGAAUUAAAGAAGGUUACAUGUAAAAUUGUAGUUAAAUUUUUCCUCAAGUUCAGUCACCAAAGAGAUGGACUUAGAGCCAAAGCAAACAUUUAAUGGUAUAGCAAAUAGGAAACUUCUUAAUUUAUUCAGAAGAAUGUAAUAAAGCUGAGCUGGAAAAUCUGAAAUGGGAGAAAGAAGUAUAGCCUUACUAAAAGUAUGUCUUACAGGUGAGUAAAUGUAAUAGAAAAUCUUUUUAGUGAUAUCUAGAGUAAUUUUUGAGAUAUUAAUUUGGUUUUCUUCUCUGUAUUUUUUUUUCCUUCUCUUGCUCAGUAUUUCCCUUGCCUUUGUGAAAGAUUGUGUCACAGUAUAGAAGAAAACACUGCUUAGACUAAAGAAAAAAGGACAGAAUGGAGCUAGUUUGGACAAUGGGAAUCUCAGUAAUAAUCCUUAAUGGCUGUGAGACUGGAAGGAUCUUCCCAAUGCUUUUGUUCUUGAUAAGAUCCCAGAACUUUUGCAUUUCACGGGGUAGGAGAAUCCUCCAAAUAUUUGAAUUUAAAUUUACCACCAGUUUGGCAGUAUAGAACUUAUAAAUGGAAUUAAUUUUUUAAAUGUAUUUGUUUUUUGUUUUUGUUAUUAUUAUUAUCAACUUUUUUUACCUUAAGGCACCAAAUAGGACUAAACAUAAUUUUUGGUUACUGACAUACUGCCAUCAUUGCUUAUUUAUGGCCUUCAUUUAUUUUGUUGAUUUAAAUUUGUUUAUUUAUUAACAAAAUGAUGAAACUAUAUGACUCCAUUGUCCAAUCAAAAACUGAAUCUAAUACACAUCUGUAUGCUCUUUUUAUUGUGCUUUUUUGUCUUCCCUUGGGGUGGUCAUUUUUUUGUUUUGUUUAUUCAUACUUUGUCUUAAAGAAAAAUUAUUACAUGCAUAUACUGUCCUAAAAAAUUUUUGUUUAGUUUUGCUUCUUUUUGAAUUAUAUAAAAAGGGUACCAUAUAAUGUGUCUUCUGGGACUGUCUUCUUCCACUCAUUGUUAUCAUAAUAAAAUUCA